AGCGGCAAAAGCUCAAAUUUGAAAUCUGGUACCUUUGGUGCCCGAGUUGUAAUUUGGAGAGUACCACUUUGGGACUGUACUUUGCCUAUGUUCCUUGGAACAGGACGUCAUGGAGGGUGAGAAUCCCGUGUGGCGAGGGUGUCAGUUCUUUGUAAAGGGUGCUCGAAGAGUCGAGUUGUUUGGGAAUGCAGCUCUAAGUGGGUGGUAAAUUCCAUCUAAAGCUAAAUACAGGCGAGAGACCGAUAGCGAACAAGUACAGUGAUGGAAAGAUGAAAAGAACUUUGAAAAGAGAGUGAAAAAGUACGUGAAAUUGUUGAAAGGGAAGGGCAUUUGAUCAGACAUGGUGUUUUGCGCCCCUUGCCUCUCGUGGGCUUGGGACUCUCGCAGCUCACUGGGCCAGCAUCGGUUUUGGCGGCCGGAAAAAACCUAGGGAAUGUGGCUCUGCGCCUCGGUGUAGAGUGUUAUAGCCCUGGGGAAUACGGCCAGCCGGGACCGAGGACUGCGAUACUUGUUAUCUAGGAUGCUGGCAUAAUGGUUAUAUGCCGCCCGUCUUGAA
rnacentral:rRNA from 1 species